rnacentral:lncRNA from 1 species
GAGGGAGUACUAAUCUAACCAAAAGUUGGCCUGUUUUAUUGGCAAGGCAAAGACAAAUCGAGAAAGCAUUAAAGUUGACAAGCAGUUACAAUAUAAUGGACCCUGAAUUCCGCUGGCGUGUGGUUGAAUCCAGCUUAUUAAUGUUCAAGAGAGAUAAUUCGCUCUUGCAGACUCACUGCUUUCUAGGGGUACUAGGUUCCAAUUAUGUUCGGUGAU